GUCAGACCAUUGGGCAACGGUUUGUAAGAAAUCAAAAAUGAUAACUCCAAAAUUUAUUUCAACUAAUACGUCAUAUAUUUAUGUAAAUUCCCAUUUAAAAAUCAAAAGUAGACAUUCGUUUCACUGGCAGUCAUUAAUAAUAAUAAUAAUAAUAACAAUACUAACAACACAAUACUAUAAUUCCUUCAAAGUGAUCGUAUAAACUAAAAUUAUAAA